UGGGGAAUUUUGGACAAUGGGCGAAAGCCUGAUCCAGCAAUGCCGCGUGUGUGAAGAAGGCCUUCGGGUUGUAAAGCACUUUUGUCCGGAAAGAAAUCCUUGGCUCUAAUACAGUCGGGGGAUGACGGUACCGGAAGAAUAAGCACCGGCUAACUACGUGCCAGCAGCCGCGGUAAUACGUAGGGUGCAAGCGUUAAUCGGAAUUACUGGGCGUAAAGCGUGCGCAGGCGGUUUUGCUAAGACCGGAUGUGAAAUCCCCGGGCUUAACCUGGGAACUGCAUUGCGAUACUGGCAAGGCUAGAGUAUGGCAGAGGGGGGUAGAAUUCCACGUGUAGCAGUGAAAUGCGUAGAGAUGUGGAGGAAUACCGAUGGCGAAGGCAGCCCCCUGGGCCAAUACUGACGCUCAUGCACGAAAAGCGUGGGGGAGCAAACAGGAUUAGAUACCCUGGUAGUCCACGCCCUAAACGAUGUCAACUAGUUGUUGGGGAUUCAUUUCCUUAGUAACGUAGCUAACGCGUGAAGUUGACCGCCUGGGGAGUACGGUCGCAAGAUUAAAACUUCAAAUGAAUUGACGGGGUCAUAGCUGUUUCCU
rnacentral:rRNA from 1 species